rnacentral:misc_RNA from 1 species
CGCACGUACACCCUUCAACGUGUUUGAGAGCGUCCCGAAUUCCCCGCGCCUCCCUCCCUCUCUGCCCUCUGGUCUGUCCCCUUCUUUUUUUUUCGGCUGGAUUCUUUCGUUUCGACCCUUCCCACGCACACACCAAUGUGAGGGUGCGGGUGCUGCAGCCCCGCUGCUCCCCCUGCCGCUGUUCCUUCCGCGUGUCUCUCCCUCACCUGGGCGCGUCUGCCGUGGGCAAAUGCCGGAGACAGACCCGCUCCGCCAUUCGAGCUGCAGCAGCAGGCUGUGCAGGUGUGUGAGCAGAAGGCGCUCUCAAAGUGGUAAGGAAGAGGGGAGGUAUGUGUGGGCGGGAAGGAGAGGUCGAACGCGUGCUGAGAAAGAGCGAGCGAGGGUGGCGGUGGCGGCACCGUCUUCACGGCUGCCUCUCCUCUUCCUCUUGCUUUCUCUGUGAAGGACCACGUUAUGACUGGGAAGAAGUCAAAACGAGGUGCAAAAGAAAGUGGUGUGGCUCUGUCUCGCUCGCUCGCUGGCUCUCUGGAAGGCGGAGGUACUGAACCGGCUUCGAUAGAGUGGCACCGGUGAUCCACACGCCUCACCCAAAGAUCGUUGCGCCGCGAGGAAGGAGACUUUCGAGGCUCUCGAGAUCCUGCUGGUACGCGCGCACACGCUGCCUGUCACCGCAUAUGCCUGAGGGGUCUUGCUGGCUCCUGUGCUUAUCUGUGUGUGUGGAGGACAGUGCGGCUUUUUGUCUUCCCUUCCACAUGCUUGGCAAUGACAGAUGCAUCAUGAUAUGCGUUCAGCAAUGCCUUACCCCCUGUGGCAGAGCGGCAGUCACGGUGGCAGGGGUGGAAAACGCACGUGAUGCAGCCUGGGCAUGGCGCACCUCUGUCCUCACGUCGAGAUGGAAACAGCGCACGGAGCCACAGAGCUGCACCAGGGCAACUCAUUGAUGCCGGUGUCGCUUCGCUAUGCACUCGCCGCCGGGGUACAUAUCGCGAAUACCUCGGCUGGCCCUGAGCAGAGGGGGCACUGCCUCAGCUGCUUGUAGCAUCGCCACCCACUGGGUGCGCGCGGGGUGCAAGAGGAAUCUCGAUGGAAAACGCGCCGCCUCGUACGCAUACACUCUCCCCACCACCCCUCACACACGCGUCUGUGCUAAGCCGGCAUCUGCUGCGCAUUGCUCAAUCUUCUCUGUGGGUGGAGCACUGCCUCUGCGGUGAAAAAGCUGAGAGCUCACCGAUCUCCCCGGACACCGGCGAGUUGAGAGAGCGACGCGGGGGCUCAUUCCGUAAAACGGAACGGCCAGGCAGCCCACCCCAGCGCAGAAACGCGCAGCACAGACGUGCUGUCUAGCCAUGAUGUUGCCGCACGGCAAGCGAAUCGGCUCCCCACUGCGCCUCCACCAGUCGGCGCUAAACCAUGGAAGCGACUCAAGAUGCGCGGGCUAACGAAGCCUGGGGCCUCGGCCUUCUGCCUUCCCGCAGCCAAGACGAACACGGUUGGCGGCGCAUGCCUGUCCGCCGGUGUUGCAGCGCAGUCGCAUUCUUCUCGGCACACCUGAAAUAGUGGAUGACGAGAUCUGCUGCGUGCCCCCUGGUACCGUCGGCUCCUCUCCGCAUGUGAGGUACCCCUACCCUCGAGGUGUGCAGAGGUCAGGUGCCGGCUUGGUCAUCUGCUUGAUUACUUACUGUCCACCGGCGGAAAUGAGAGAUGAGUAGGGGUGACACUCGUGGCUAGCGUCUGCCAAUGCUGCAUGUCUAACAGCAUCACAGCAGGUUUGAAGGAAAC